rnacentral:rRNA from 1 species
GAUGAACGCUGACAGAAUGCUUAACACAUGCAAGUCAACUUGAACUUCGGUUUGGGUGGCGGACGGGUGAGUAACGCGUAAAGAACUUGCCUCACAGCUAGGGACAACAUUUGGAAACGAAUGCUAAUACCUGAUAUUAUGAUUAUAUGGCAUCGUAUAAUUAUGAAAGCUAUAUGCGCUGUGAGAGAGCUUUGCGUCACAUUAGCUAGGUGGAGAGGUAACAGCUCACCAAGGCGAUGAUGGGUAGCCGGCCUGAGAGGGUGAUCGGCCACAAGGGGACUGAGGCACGGCCCUUACUCCUACGGGAGGCAGCAGUGGGGAAUAUUGGACAAGGGACCGAGAGUCUGAUCCAGCAAUUCUGUGUGCACGAUGAAGUUUUUCGGAAUGUAAAGUGCUUUCAGUUGGGAAGAAAAAAAUGACGGUACCAACAGAAGAAGUGACGGCUAAAUACGUG